rnacentral:misc_RNA from 1 species
GCGGAGGGAUCAUUACAGAGUUGAAAGACUCCAAACCAUUGUGAACAUACCUAUUGCUACCGUCAGGUGCUUGUUGCUUCGGUGUUCGACACUCUCUAGGUGCAAUCGACUACUAGAGGUGCACGCCUGUUGAGACAGCGCCUGUGCGGGACCCAAACCCUUAUUCUUUAGCGUAUUCUGAGCGUGGAAACACAAAUGAAUCAAAACUUUCAACAACGGAUCUCUUGGUUCUGGCAUCGAUGAAGAACGCAGCGAAAUGCGAUAAGUAAUGUGAAUUGCAGAAUUCAGUGAAUCAUCGAAUCUUUGAACGCACAUUGCGCCCGCCAGCAUUCUGGCGGGCAUGCCUGUCCGAGCGUCAUUUCAACCCUCGAGGCCCCUGUGGUCUUGGUGUUGGGGCGCUACAGGAACCCUCUACAGGGCGACUGUAGGCUCCUAAGUGCAUUGGCGGGCCUCUUGCGAGCCUAGGCGUAGUAGUCAUCUCCUCGCCUUGGGCCUCGCGGCGGUACCCAGCCAGCAAACCGCUCGCCCUCGGGCAGCACACACAAGGUUGACCUCGGAUCAGGUAGGACUACCCGCUGAACUUAAGCAUAUCAAUAAGCGGAGGAAAAGAAACCAACAGGGAUUGCCCUAGUAACGGCGAGUGAAGCGGCAACAGCUCGAAUUUGAAAUCUGGCUCCCUUGGGGGUCCGAGUUGUAAUCUACAGAGGAUGCUUCAGGCAAGGCACCCGCCGAGUUCCCUGGAACGGGACGCCACAGAGGGUGAGAGCCCCGUAUGGCGGGAGGCCGCGCCUGUGUGAAGCUCCUUCGACGAGUCGAGUAGCUUGGGAAUGCUGCUCUAAAUGGGAGGUAGACUUCUUCUAAAGCUAAAUAUUGGCCAGAGACCGAUAGCGCACAAGUAGAGUGAUCGAAAGAUGAAAAGCACUUUGAAAAGAGGGUCAAACAGUACGUGAAAUUGUUGAAAGGGAAGCGCCUAUGGCCAGACUUGCGGCAGGUCGAUCAUCUAGCGGUCUCCGCUAGUGCACUCGGCCUACCGCAGGCCAGCGUCGGCUGUUGCGGGGGGACAAAAGCACUGGGAACGUGGCUCCCUCCGGGGAGUGUUAUAGCCCAGUGCAGAAUGCCCCCGCGGCGGCCGAGGACCGCGCCCUUGUGGCAAGGACGCUGGCGUAAUGGCCAUCAGCGACCCGUCUUGAAACACGGACC